rnacentral:rRNA from 1 species
AUUGAACGCUGGCGGCAGGCCUAACACAUGCAAGUCGAGCGGAUGAAGGGAGCUUGCUCCUGGAUUCAGCGGCGGACGGGUGAGUAAUGCCUAGGAAUCUGCCCGGUAGUGGGGGAUAACGUCCGGAAACGGGCGCUAAUACCGCAUACGUCCUGAGGGAGAAAGUGGGGGAUCUUCGGACCUCACGCUAUCAGAUGAGCCUAGGUCGGAUUAGCUAGUUGGUGGGGUAAAGGCCUACCAAGGCGACGAUCCGUAACUGGUCUGAGAGGAUGAUCAGUCACACUGGAACUGAGACACGGUCCAGACUCCUACGGGAGGCAGCAGUGGGGAAUAUUGGACAAUGGGCGAAAGCCUGAUCCAGCCAUGCCGCGUGUGUGAAGAAGGUCUUCGGAUUGUAAAGCACUUUAAGUUGGGAGGAAGGGCAGUAAGUUAAUACCUUGCUGUUCUGACGUUACCAACAGAAUAAGCACCGGCUAACUUCGUG